rnacentral:misc_RNA from 1 species
UCUCCGUUGGUGAACCAGCGGAGGGAUCAUUACAGAGUUUUCACAACUCCCAACCCUUGCGAACCGUACCCAUUCUGUUCUCGUUGCUUCCGGCGGGGGGGACGGGGGGGGCCGAAAUGGGCCCCCCGCCCCGCCCGCCGGGGGCGGCGGGCUCUACGAACCUUGAUAUCUCAAACACCAGCAACCGUUUGACAAAACAAUCAAAAUAAUCAAAACUUUCAACAACUGAUCUAUUUGCUCUAGCAUAGAUGCAGAACGCAUGAGAUCGGAAGAUCACAC